UGUCCCGCCUGGGGAGUACGGCCGCAAGGCUAAAACUCAAAGGAAUUGACGGCGGCCCGCACAAGCAGCGGAGCGUGGGGUUUAAUUCGAUGCAACGCGAAGAACCUUACCAGGGCUUGACAUGACCAGGAAGUCGGCGGAAACGUCGGCGCCCCGCAAGGGGCCUGGCCACAGGUGUUGCAUGGCUGUCGUCAGCUCGUGUCGUGAGAAGUUGGGUUAAGUCCCGCAACGAGCGCAACCCCUACUGUGUGUUGUAUCACUCACACGGGACUGCCGAGAGAAACUCGGAGGAAGGUGGGGAUGAUGUCAAGUCAGCAUGGCCCUUACGUCCUGGGCUACACCCACGCUACAAUGGCCGGUACAACGGGCAGCGAUACCGCGAGGUGGAGCUAAUCCCUUCAAGCCGGUCUCAGUUCGGAUUGCAGGCUGCAACUCGCCUGCAU
rnacentral:rRNA from 1 species